GUUGGCUCAGCCAAUGGGAAGCUUACAGGAAGCUUGGAGAGAAGGAGGAAGAGCACUCUGAAGAUGGAGAAGGAAGCUAGAACUCUUAAUUUAUGGGAGCUCUUCCUGUUCCUUGAAUGUGCAUUUCUAGCCCUUCACCCAGCUUGAGACACAAGAGGACAUCUAAGAAGGACUUGGAGUACUGUGUAUUUAUCAGGGAACUUAUGCUCAGGCCAGAGCUGGGAGUGGUGAAGGGACCAGAAUCAGGACUCAGAAGCUUGGCCAGCUAUUUUAAGCAAACCAGGAACAAAAGCGUAAGAAGGAAACCAAAGUUUCAGAGAAGAAACAAGUCUACAAGGCUAAUAGCCUACACAAGCCACGGCCUCGUCUAUCCUGAGACCAGAAGAACUACAUGAUGCAUGGCUACCACUACGGACCUAUUUUGACCGGGAUCACAAUAGAUGGCUCUAGAUAAAAUGGGAGAAAAAUGUAGAACAAAACUCAAAUUAUUAAAAAAGUUCAGGCUAACUGGACCAUUUGAGACCAGAGUACCUCCUAAGACUGUCGCCCUGAGAUACUCUUUAAACCUUGAACCAAAAUAUCCCCUGAGAUCACCUUUCAGUGAAACAACAAAGUGGCACACAAAAUAAAGGAUAUUACCCAUAAGUACG